GCAAGUCACAAGCCACUGGUGACAGAGAAGACAGGGAUGGGUAAUCUUCCAGGAAGAAAAGUCAUUGCAGAGAAGGACUUUGAAUAUUCUUCCUUUUUCUGAGAGAGUCUAUGCAAAAUGAUCCACAAAAGAGAAUAAUUGGAAAGAAGCACAAUUUUGAAUGCACAAGAAAAAGUUCAACUGUGCUCUUUCAGCCCAUGAUGUUGCAAACAUCAUGUGAAAGUGCCUGUGGUUUAAAUAAAGCUGAAGUCACAUUGACCACGAGCCUAACCUAAGCACAAGGUGGUAUUACAGCAACUGGCAAAGAAUUUUGCUGAAGAAUACUUCUCAAAGGAGGCAAGGAAAGAGAGUUCGCCCAUCUGCUGGUUCAUUCUCCCAAAUGAUCAUAGCAACUAUAACUCAUCCAGGCUGAAGCCAAAAGUCAGGAACUCCAUGUGGGCCUCCAAAGUGGGUGACUGGGACUCAGGUACCUCAGCCAUCAUGUGCUGGUUCCAGGAUACACAGCAUCAGGAAGCUAGAAUCGUGAAUGGAGCAGGAUAUGAAGAGUAUGUUUAAGGACAAAUUUGGU